ACCCACUCUGAUUUUAAACUAGUUGGAUU
rnacentral:piRNA from 1 species